GGCCGAAGCGAAAAGAGGAUAUUUGUGUGUGCUAAGAUGAGGUGUGGGUACAGCGUACGAACGCAAACUUAAAAGAUAAAAGUAAAUAAAAAUCAAACUAUCAAAAAUACAGUAAAAUUCCUCAGGCACUGAUUGUGAGUUGAAGUGCCUAUUUUUCUGCGUUGUCUUCGUUAUUCGCACAUGAAUUAGCUGGGUUUGCAAGAAUAUGAAUAUGACAAAGAAGUUUAAUAAGUUUAGUGUAUCUUGGACAAUGCACAAUCACAAAAAACAAUAAUAAUAAUGGUGAAGAGGCGACAUGUGUACAUACAUAUAAAUAUUAUUUAAUAAAAAUCUGCCGGAUUUCAGAUAAUAAUUGUUUAAUUGCUUUUCUCUUUUCAUUCCAUUUUACUUGUUGUUUCGCAAACUUUGUCUAUUGCUUUUACCUUGUUUUUUACUAUCAGGUUUUCAGUUUCCUUUUUACUUAAUUUUCUUUGAUAAUGCACAACAGCAUUGUCAACUAUUGUGAAUUAAAGUUGUUUGUAAUUGGUGUGAUAGACCACAAUCAAUUGUCAAAUUUCAUUCAUGUCCUCUAUUGUAAAUGAGAUGUUACUUCUUCUUUCCAACGUUGACUCUUUGGGCUUUGACAUUCUCUUUUGGUGGUAAAAUAAGGAAAAAUUUGUGAUUGAAGAAGUCAACACGUACGCUCGCGCGGCUGCUAUUUUUCUCAAACCAGAUAGUGAUAGCAAUAUAAAAAGGAAUAAAAUUAUAAUUAAAAAAUGUAAUAGAAAUAAUUGCAAGUGAAUCAAGAAACAGAUUCGAAUAUCUAUCUUUAAAUAUUUGAUUUUUUUUUCUUUUGAUUGAAGUGUUUCUCUCCUCGCGUAGUGUCGCGUCCCUUAUGCCAAUUCGCUAUUUAAAAGAAAAUCAGUGCACAACUUCAAACAUAUGUACAUAUAUAAAUAUAUAUACAUAAAAUUGAUAUAAAAUAUAUACAUCUGUGAGAAAUAUCUGCAACCGUGUCUGAAGCAAAACAAAAAUAUUGCAAGAAUUUAAAUGUUUUAUUUAGUUUAGUGUAUGUAACUCACAAAAAUAUACUUGGAGAAAUUAAAAAUUAUAAAGCAACUUGAGCAAUUAUCUAUACAAAGCCAACACCCCAAAUCAACAGACAACGGAGCAAUAAGACAACAGUAACAACAACGUAGUCAACUCAACAACUUUAAACGAGUAGUGCAGUGCAUUGUUUGGUAAACAAACCAUACUCAACAUCAAUCAAUUAAUACCGCAAACGACAGAGUGCUGAUAAAUUCCCUCACCAUUGAGUACACCAGUGCAGCAUUCCUUUGGUGCGGCCAUAUAAUUUUGGUUUUUGUUUUUUAAGUGGCGUAAUCGUUGUUACCGUUGUACCAAAAUGGGCAACUGCUUGAGUUCCGAGAAACCGGAUAUUCCCAAAAGCAUUGAGUGCGCGCCUAAUGUGCCCAAUGUGGAUUGUGUUGGCAGUCAGCCGGCGGAUCAAAUUCGCGUUGUACAACAGCAGGAGCAAAUACGCCAAGUACCGCAAAUACCAGAAAACGAAAUAUCGAAUGCAAAUGCUAAAAUAUUUGUAGCUUUGUAUGAUUACGACGCACGCACAGAUGAGGAUUUGAGUUUCCGUAAGGGUGAACACUUGGAGAUUCUGAACGACACACAGGGCGACUGGUGGCUCGCACGCAGCAAGAAAUCCCGUCAAGAGGGCUAUAUACCUUCGAAUUAUGUUGCCAAAUUAAAAUCUAUAGAAGCAGAACCGUAAGUAGUUUAUAAAUAGUCUAUUUUUAUACAAAGGAUAUUUAAAUUAAGGUGAAAAAGUUUGCAAGCAAAUUUGGCGUUUUUCAACAUAUAUUACUAUAAAGAAGUUUUUCAUAUCGUUUGUUAUGUAUUUUUAAUACAAUAUAUAUGCACGUAGCUAUAUAUUUUGUGGCUCUGGCUUAAGCCACAGAAGCAGAUAUAAAAUUAUAAAAAAAAUCUGUAAAAAAAUGUAGGAGAAAUAAUAUAAUAAUUAAACAUACUCUGACAAAAAAUUUUUUCUGCAAAAAGCUUUCAAAUUGUUUUCAUACGACAGCACGACACAGUGAGCUUUCGCUAUGUCACUGACUCGUUGUAUUUUCAUGCCUAAAUGUAUGCAAUCAUUUUUAUAGCCGCAAGCAGCUCAAGCACAAUAAACUCCCAUGCAUGAAUGUUUGCACAAGCGUAACAACAAACACAUACAAAAAUAUAAAAUUUGUUGAAGUUCUAAAAAUAAAGGCAGAAGUGCGAAUUUUUGCUAUUUUAAAUUAUUAAUUUUUUUUGGAUUAAUUUAAAAUUUUUUUUUUAUUAAAUAUUUUUAAUAAAUUUUUAAAUUAAUUUAAAUAAGUAUGUAAAAAAUGUAAUGUAUGUUUAAAAUAGUGGGACAAUUAUGGAGUAACUGCAUAUUAAUAAAUAGAACACGGUAAAUGCCUAGAAAAAAUGUUUGGUUUGACUUCCACUAUUUCAUCAGCUAUUUGCUCCAUAUCUCGCCUUCUGGCUUUUUAUAACAUUUUUUUGUAUGAUAUGCAAAAUUAUUUGCUAUUGCUGUGCGAUUUUCGCAAACUACAAAAAAUCAAUCACUCACUCACACAUAUACGCACACGCGUAUAACUAUGCAUAUUUAGGCACUUGAAAAGUUUAAUCAACCUAAUUACACAAUUUGAAGGCAUCACAACACGCUCACGCACACUUCGUCAUUUAGCUACUGACCGCCCCUGAAUUUCAGUGACACUUGCAUAUUUCUUUUUUGUUUAAUAAUUUCAUUUCAUUAUUGGACCUUACGUAGAAUUGUAAAUAAAAUAAAAUGAAAUUACUGUUGCCUUUAAGUGUGCAUUAAAAGGCACCAAGCUGCGGGAUCAGUCACUUUUUGCAGCUCUACGAGCUUUUUAAGUACCGUACGGUGUAAUUUUUAUCAUUUUACUGAUUUCAUAUUUCUGUUAUUUUAUUGUUGUUAUUGUAAAAAGUCACAUAAAUAUACUGCUUAUAAUAAAUAUAUGUGCUACGGGGUUACGUUUUCGUCUGCUGAUGAAGUGAAGCUUGUGUGAAAAACUUCAAAGGCAUACAUUUUUUUUUAUAUUGUUGAAUACGUGUUUAUGUAUAUUUAAUUACUCAUUCAAUAGUUCAAUAAUUAGGUUUUUUCUAUCCUUAAAACUGUUUAUGCUCAUUAACAUUUAAAUCAAAUUUCCUGACUUGAAAUAAUACAUUUCCCUUUGAUGAGCUUUUUUGCACUUGCAUAAACUAUAGAAGCUCUGACUUCGUUGAAAUAGAUUUAAGUUAUCAAUAAAGCAACCCUUAUCUUUUAGUUUUUAACGGUCUGCCAUAAAAGUUUUAACGUAUCACUGUAAAAUUCAUAGAAACACUUCUUAGUAAGGUUGGAGAGUCUAUAAAGACGAACCACCUUCGCUAAGUCUGUAUUAUACAAAACUAUAUAUAUCGUAUUAUUCGAAAGAACAUUAUUUCGCAAUUAUUUUUUAAAGAGUGUCUCUUUCAAAUGUUGGCUGCGGCUACGUCUUAGAUGGUCCAUCCUUUAGAUCCAAUUUUCGAUGUCUCGUUCGAGCAUUUCGAUUGGUGACUGGCGGAAUGACGCGUAAUGUUCUCCUCCAAGACCUGAAUCGAAGAAGGAAUUGUCCGCAUAUACUUUAGACUUUACAUAUCCUCACAGGAAAAAGUCUAACUUUGUGAUAUCAGGUUCAUGACAUGCCCGCCCACUAUAAGUUUUAAUCAAAAUACGACAACUUUAACUGAUUGCUGUUUAUCUUGGUGGCCAUUUCACCUUAAUUAAGUGAAGUGAUGCCGUCUUGUUGAAAUUAAAUAUCGCCGAGAUCACGAGCUUCAAUUUCAGCCAUCAAAUAGUCGAUUAUCAUGUGCGAUAACGGUCGCUAUUGACGCUUACAUUCCCACCGGCAUUAUUUUUGAAGAAAUCUGCAGUGAUGAAACUACCGGCCCACAAACCAUACCGAACCGUUGUUUUUUUCUGGAUGAAAUGGCAGCUCUUUAAUCUGCUCUUCGUCCCAAAUGUCGUCAAUUUUACUUGUUUACAUUAGCCAGAAAUGGGUCUCGUCGGUGAACAAAAUUGGGGUCGAAAGCGUCGGAACUUU